rnacentral:lncRNA from 1 species
AAGUAUGUUUUUACAUACUUAUUUAAUAUCUAAAUAAUCUUAAACAUUGAUUAAAGGAGCAAGUUUCUACUUACAAUUAUGUAAUUAUUAUUUUUGUAGGUAAAAAUCAUCUAAAGAAAUAUAACAAGACAAAAGGAAGUGAAAAUGGACUAAAAGUGUACAAAAUUGUGACAUGUUGUAUGCCAUAGUUGUCGCGAGAAAGGUCACUUCUUUGCGGAAUGCUCGAAAAAACAUCACUACCCUUGGUGUAAAAUUGGGUUUGUGAAGUGCUUUGAGGUCGAGAAGGAGACGGAAAACAAGGGAAAAUUGUUCAAUUGUUGCAGUGCUAAAUGUAAAUAUUGUGAAUAGGUCGAGAAAGGAGAAACAAGGGGGUCAAGUGGUGUUAAAAUGAACGUGAAUAAUCCUGCAACAGUGGCUGAAGAAGAUCAAGAGUUUGCUCGUAUGUUCCAAACUCGUUGUCGGGUUACCGAAGACGAAAAGUUUGAGAUUCAAGUGACUGUGACAAUUCGCAAGGUCAACGAAAGUGCUGAACUGGAUAAGAAAGGGAAGGGAAAACUUGAGUAAUAGUUGUGUUAUCAUUAGUUUCGCUUCCUGGUACUUAUGAUGUGUAGUAUGUGUUCUUGUAGGUGUAGAGUGUUAUGUUAUGUGUAGUUGGAGUGCAGUUGGGUGGCUAUAAAAUUGAGGACAAAAUGCUACUCUGGGGAAUUAUGAGUCCUAAAUUUGUGUUCUUCACUUUUGUAUGUAGGAAGACACUGUAAAUUCAUUCACUAAUGUUAAUAUGACUUCAUUAUUAGUCCUUCAUUUGUUGGUGUUAAUUUUGGUGGCUGUGAAUGUGAAGUGGCUGUGAAUGCAGGGAGAAUUUUGGUGGUUGUGAAUGUGAAGUAGCUGUGAAUGCAGGGAGAAUUUGUCUCCAGUUUUCAAUUAACAUCAACCCAGGCAAAGUGGCGAACUAAAU